UUAAAUCCCACCAUUUGUUACUCAACUUCGAAUGAAGUUCUAUCGAAGCGAGAUCAACGGUGGAUCUCUUAACUGUUGCAGAUUUGCCUAAUUGAUCAAUUUCCUCGGUUAAUCUAAAACAAUGAAUUAGAGAAUAAUAUAAUGUAUUGUGUACCCCUAUCGCAGUCUUAAUGAUGGUAUAAAUACUAUUAGAAAAAGUUUAUAGGUUAGAUACCUAUUCCGAAAGACAUUCCCCGUGCAUACAGAUCGAAACGGCAACAAUUUCAAGCUUCUCAUAAUUCUUGAUUUUUAAAUUACCAUAAAAAAUUUAGCAAACGUAUGACACGACGGUGCCGACCAGUGUGAAACAAAAGACAAUUUAUUAGGCGGGAAGCAAUCAUAUAUCAUACUGAUUACACUGGAUUGUACACUGUCUCGGCCAUAUUCGCAUCGCUGUUAUUAACAGUCUAUUAAUAACAAAUCGCAGAUACUGUAGUCAUCAAAAUCGAUUCAGAAGCAGCAUCGAUCAACGAACAAAUAAGUCGUGGAGGUCAUAGUUCGAGAAGUUUUUAUCGAUUGUUUUACAGUGUUGUUGUUGCUGUCCAGUCGAGCAAACAGGGAUUCGUCUGCACCCAAUUUCCUGUGGAAGUAAUGCGAUGCAACAUUUUGGGAUAAAGUUCAUUGUCGAUAUGUAAUGAUAAUGUACCUAGCCACUCUACUCUUGAUGAUGGGUGGAAGUUGGUCAGGAUCUCCCACGAGAACAAAUUUACGCGCACUAUACAAAGGUCUUAGCACGACCGGUUGCAAGGCCUGAGAACUUUCAUCGAUAACGCAUACAUCGAAUAUCCGUCUACCAAGAAGGGCAUGAUGAGCGCCGUAACAAGUUACUCCUAUAAUAUUCUAAAGGAAACAAAAUUAUUAUCUUUUUAUAAUAAUUAUAUAGGGCAUAAGGAUGAUCUCAUACUUUACUGGAAUACACUGCAUCGAAACUAUUAGGCGAACAACAGUUGGCAGUCGCAUAUGAUUCAGUCUUAUGUUUUAAUGUUGGGUGAAUGGAUGACGAGCCUAAUCGCAAGAAGUCGAUACCUUUGUCCAACAGUCUCAGCAGGACAUUGUCAACGGCGCUGUUUGUGUGCGCUGUGAUUAAAAUGGAGCAUCCUAUUGCGUUUAGUAGUUGUAUCAACGCCACUAGCGUUUGCGUCUUUCCAGUGCCGGGCAUUCCUUUGAUCAAAAUGUAUUCUUUGGCAGUCAUCGCCUUCAGAACUGCUCUCGCCUGAUCCUCGUUUAAUCUUUCAACUAUAUUAGCACUUAUACUGAUCACAGAUUUUGAUAAUUCUUUCGCGAAUGUUGCUGGUUUUUUGUCUAUCACUAUCUCCCGUAAUUUUUCGCAAAUUUCGUUGUCACCCAUUAAUCCGCCAACGUUGGCGAAAUUAAAAGCAAUUAGAUUGGAAGAUGAAUAUUUAUCUAUGUGAAAGGAUUCGUCGAUAUUGUACUUUGUGAUAUCCCUGAAAUAACAUAAUCAAUUUCAGUGUAUCAAAGAGAAACAUCUAAGUCUAUAGCCAUGUCUUUAUGUACCUGUCUAAUAAAACAGUUACAGAGUC